rnacentral:rRNA from 1 species
CCUACGGGUGGCAGCAGUGAGGAAUAUUGGUCAAUGGACGCAAGUCUGAACCAGCCAUGCCGCGUGCAGGAAGACGGCUCUAUGAGUUGUAAACUGCUUUUGUACGAGGGUAAACUCAGAUACGCGUAUCUCUCUGCUAGUAUCGUACGAAUAAGGAUCGGCUAACCCCGUGCCAGCAGCCGCGGUAAUACGGAGGAUUCAAGCGUUAUCCGGACUUAUUGGGUUUAAAGGGUGCGUAGGCGGUCGGAUAAGUUAGAGGUGAAAUCCCGAGGCUCAACUUCGGAAUUGCCUCUGAUACUGUUCGGCGAGAGAGUAGUUGAGGUAGGCGGAAUGUAUGGUGUAGCGGUGGAAUGCUUAGAGAUCAUACAGAACACCGAUUGCGAAGGCAGCUUACCAGGCUACUUCUGACGUUGAGGCACGAAAGCGUGGGGAGCAAACAGGAUUAGAUACCCGAGUAGUC